rnacentral:lncRNA from 1 species
GAUGGAUAAAAGGGAAAGAAGAACAGGGACGGUAGCAGCGGCAGCCGCGAGCCACCACGGCGGGGCGCAGCUGAUGGCGAUGACCGCCGGUGCUGCCCGCGCUACGGCGGCCCACGGUGGCUGGCAACAGAGAGAUAGAGACAUAGAGAUAGAGGAGAGAGACAAGGGGGAGGCAGAGCAAACGAGGAAGAAAAGAGGAGUAAGGGCGGCGCCGGCGCUGCUACGCAUCCACGGCUCACGGCGGCCGCCGCGAACAGGGCAUAGAGAGAGAUCGAGAGGGGCAGAGAGAGAGAGACUGAGAGGGAGGAUAUAGAGAGAAGAAGAGAGAUAGGGGACUUACCUGAGGCGGGGAGAACGACGGAGGAGCGGAAAUCCGACGGGCUGGGGCGGCGGCGACGUUAUUCGCCGGGAUUCUCCAGAGGAGUAAAAUUGAUGGGGAAGAUUGAAAACCCUAGGUUUAAUUGAUUUUAGAAUUUGGGAAUUAAAUGUAGGAAGGAGAGGGAAGAAAGCGGAAGGGGAGAAGAUGCGUCAGCCUCGCCGCGCCGGAAGCGACGCGAGCCGGCGACGCUCGCCGGAGAAGGGGGGGAGAGAGAGGCGGCCGAGAGAGGGAGCGAAGAGAGGAAGAGAUGUCUGCGUGGGGAAGAAAUAGAAAACAGAGAGAGAUUAACUUGUUUUAUGUUUUAAAGAAGGUUAUUAAUUUUAAUUUAUUUAAAUCUGAAAUUGGUUAAUUGGGCUCCAACUAGUAAUUGGGUUUAAGCUGGUACUUGGGCCUAUUAAUCUCAAUGGGAUUAGUAAUAAUAAAUUGUGUUGGGCUUUGGGAGUACAUAAGAUGAUAGAAUUAAUUUGUUAAGUUGGGC